UACGGAGGGGGCUAGCGUUGUUCGGAAUUACUGGGCGUAAAGCGCGCGUAGGCGGCUUUGUAAGUUAGAGGUGAAAGCCCCGGAGCUCAACUCCGGAACUGCCUUUAAGACUGCAUCGCUAGAAUUGUGGAGAGGUGAGUGGAAUUCCGAGUGUAGAGGUGAAAUUCGUAGAUAUUCGGAAGAACACCAGUGGCGAAGGCGACUCACUGGACACAUAUUGACGCUGAGG
rnacentral:rRNA from 1 species